rnacentral:tRNA from 1 species
AAUUCCAGCUUUGGGUGUUGGUGGUGAGGUUUAAUGUCUCUUCCUUGA